UACAGAGGGGGCAAGCGUUGUUCGGAAUUACUGGGCGUAAAGGGCGCGUAGGCGGCCUUCUAAGUCGAACGUGAAAUCCCCGGGCUCAACCCGGGAACUGCAUUUGUGACUGGCGGACUCGAGUAUGGCAGAGGGGGGUAGAAUUCCACGUGUAGCAGUGAAAUGCGUAGAGAUGUGGAGGAAUACCGAUGGCGAAGGCAGCCCCCUGGGCCAAUACUGACGCUCAUGCACGAAAGCGUGGGGAGCAAACAGG
rnacentral:rRNA from 1 species